GAUCAUGCUCAGGAUGAACGCUGGCGGCGUGCUUAACACAUGCAAGUCGAACGAAGCACCUUGAUUCGAUUCUUCGGAUGAAGAUCCUGGUGACUGAGUGGCGGACGGGUGAGUAACGCGUGGGUAACCUGCCUCAUACAGGGGGAUAACAGUUAGAAAUGACUGCUAAUACCGCAUAAGACCACAGCACCGCAUGGUGCAGGGGUAAAAACUCCGGUGGU
rnacentral:rRNA from 1 species